rnacentral:rRNA from 1 species
AAGCGUUGUCCGGAAUGAUUGGGCGUAAAGGGCGCGUAGGCGGCCCGGUAAGUCUGAAGUGAAAGUCCUGCUUUUAAGGUGGGAAUUGCUUUGGAUACUGUCGGGCUUGAGUGCAGGAGAGGUAAGCGGAAUUCCCGGUGUAGCGGUGAAAUGCGUAGAGAUCGGGAGGAACACCAGUGGCGAAGGCGGCUUACUGGACUGUAACUGACGCUGAGGCGCGAAAGUGUGGGGAGC